AUUGGGGAGAUGUCUCCCUGUCUGAAGCAACAAAGGAAGAACCACAGUGGGAUGGAAUGUGAGUUGGAGCCAAUUAAGCCAUCGCCAGUAUUAGAGAGCUAUCGCAACAAGUGUGAGUUUACUAUCGGCAAGAGUGUCGAUGGCAUCGAUAACACUGUUGGUUUCCGGCUUGGCGCUUACAAAG